rnacentral:lncRNA from 1 species
GUUGAAGUAUCUAAAGCAUGAGAAGUCUGUCACAUGCUUCUCUCUCCUCCCCGCAACAUAGACAAACACAGUUCCAAGCAAAAGGAGUGAGAACAGUUCCUUCAACUUCGAAAUCCUGUGCAAAAUUGAUCAAGGGAAGGACCAGAAAACUCAGACUAAUUCAUGUCUUUGACAAGAAGAUGGCCUUUUGGAAUCUUAGUACUCACCCAAGCACAACAUUGUCAUUGGAUUCAUGCUUCAAGACUUUCCUAGAUCUUGCUUCACUCCUGAA